rnacentral:rRNA from 1 species
AGAAUCAACGCUGGCGGCGUGCCUAACACAUGCAAGUCGCACGAGAAAGGGACUUCGGUCCUGAGUAAAGUGGCGCACGGGUGAGUAACACGUGAAUCAUCUACCUCCGAGUGGGGAAUAACCUAGAGAAAUCUGGGCUAAUACCGCAUAACACUUACGAGUCAAAGCAGCAAUGCGCUUGGAGAGGAGUUCGCGGCAGAUUAGUUAGUUGGCGGGGUAAUGGCCACCAAGACGAUGAUCUGUA